GUGAGGAAUAUUGGACAAUGGGCGCAAGCCUGAUCCAGCCAUGCCGCGUGCAGGAAGACGCAUCUAUGGUGUGUAAACUGCUUUUGUACGGGAAGAAACACUCCCUCGUGAGGGAGCUUGACGGUACCGUAAGAAUAAGGAUCGGCUAACUCCGUGCCAGCAGCCGCGGUAAUACGGAGGAUCCAAGCGUUAUCCGGAAUCAUUGGGUUUAAAGGGUCCGUAGGCGGUUUAAUAAGUCAGUGGUGAAAGCCCAUCGCUCAACGAUGGAACGGCCAUUGAUACUGUUAGACUUGAAUUACAAGGAAGUAACUAGAAUAUGUAGUGUAGCGGUGAAAUGCUUAGAUAUUACAUGGAAUACCAAUUGCGAAGGCAGGUUACUACUUGUGGAUUGACGCUGAUGGACGAAAGCGUGGGGAGCGAACAGGAUUAGAUACCCGAGUAUCC
rnacentral:rRNA from 1 species